AUGCCUAGGAUGUUUGCAUACCACAGAAAGACUAAUUCUUGCAGCAUGUGCUGUGUUACAUUUCUUGUGAUGCAGUACCAGGUUCUCUGUGCUCCCUGCUCCUCCUCUCCUCCACCAGUGGCCCUGAGGCCUCGUCGCCAUGCGCCCCGCCCGGCUUGCUCUGUGACAGGAGCUGCAGCUUCUCAUCAGUAAGUUCCUCAUCUUCUCAUCAUGGCAUUGUUCGGGCUGCUGGCUAGAGCUGGCUACUGGCUGAUC
rnacentral:lncRNA from 1 species